AUUCAGGUGUAACAUGCAUAAUACAAAACCUACUGAAUUUGUAUACCUAAAAAAUAUAAUACAAAUUGAUAUUCAAAAGUAAUAACUUUAUUAUAAGCCUCACAAAAAGUUUUGGGUACAUAUUUUGUUGAGCCACAAGCAGGACAAGUAAUACAAGGAUACACAGCAGCAUUGAAGUAAAUAUACAAUAAAAUAUGUACAAAUAUUAUUUGUAUUUUAAUCAUUGUUAAAAAAUUAGGUCUCGAUUAACAUUCAAACAUUUAAGAAAUAUGGUUGGUAUUCAUCCUACAGUAUCUGAAGAAUUUACUACAGUGAAUGUCACUAGAUGAUCAGAAGGUCUAACUUUGCAG